rnacentral:lncRNA from 1 species
AAAUUAUUUCUUCGUGUAUAUUUAAUUACUUUUCAAUUUAUUCUCAACCAUCCACAAAACGCUUCCUUCUCUCGAAAUUCCACUCUAUUCUCGAACCCAACUACAGCAAACUAUUACUCAAACUAUUCCUCCCUAUAUCCAACCUGUCCAAGCUCAUACAUGUCUCUUCGUUCGAACGUAUUUGAGAACGCAUCUGCCCCGCCUCGAAUAACGUCAACCCACGUGUGUUUGUGUGUGUAACAUCAAUAUUAGCACGCGCAUAUUCGCGAUUCGCAUUUGUUUGAACCACCGCGACUUGCACGCGUUUCUCCGUUCUCUUCUGGCAUUGUCUUUGCGCCCAUGCUUUUCAUCAUAUUCCAGUGAUGAACGUGUAUACGUUUACAUAUAUACAGUGUGUCUUGCAAUUUUCAGUGGAAAAGAACUAUAUCGUAUUAGCCAAUCAGAAAGCAACUUAGAAAAAUAGGUGCGUAUGCAGCGAGCCAUGUCAGUUAUUAUUGAAAAUCAUGGAGGCUGGGUGUGUUUCAUCGAAAUAGAUUAUUCUUCAAUUGCUUGUGCAAUAUCGAAACAAUCGUAACAAUUAACAAUCAUGAUUUUUAUACAAAUAUCUCAGAAUAAAUUUCAAGAUGGACGAG